AAGUCGUAACAAGGUUUCCGUAGGUGAACCUGCGGAAGGAUCAUUAUUGAAUUGCUUUGCGGGCUUCGGCCCCGCAAUCCACACCACCGCGAACUUGUGAAAAAACCCCACUGUUCCCGCAAGGGAAACAACAACAACUUUUGUGCCGUCUCUAGAAAUAAAACCUAAAACAAAAAAAAAACUUUCAACAACGGAUCUCUUGGCUUGC
rnacentral:misc_RNA from 1 species